GACGAAGGAUCUGGUCCGGGAUGGGGGUGCACAUCUCCACAAGUUAAAAUAGCAGAGGCCGUGCAACAAAAUGUUGCUGUGGUAUUUGAAUAAUACGAGAUACAGCUCCUCAUCCAUCUUAUCUUCUUUGUUCUCAAUGUAACACAGGCCUUGUGGGCGGUAUAAAGGACUCACUAGUAAUGCUGUCCCUAGGGAUGGUCGUUUGGUAUAUGCAAAUAUGAGACACGGUGGUAGUUACRAACGUCCAAGAGAUGUUCGGCUGGUGAUUCAACUCCAGAAGCAGCGGAAAAAGCAACAAAAUUGUAGAGCUCAAAAGAACACGUCCGAUCAUGUUUCACGUCACGUGUCUUCGUGGAAAGAAAGACUUGCAAAUUUGUAGAGGUGGAUUUGAGGAUGUUAUUUUAAAUGCACUGGAAAUAGUUUCAUCAGUGAGUAACAGUAACAGGAAAUAAAUAAGUAUAUUUUUCAAUAAU